UCGAUCAAUUGUAUCCCUCAGUCCACAUUGACAGGCUGUUGAUAGAAGAUUUGUUUGGUUAGAAAGUCUUAACUUAAUACAAUGACGAGCAAAACUUUAACGCGAGUUUCAGAAUCAAACAUUAAAGGGGUGUAUCGUCUGUUCUAAUUUAUGCACGCUAAAUUUAUUAGUCUUGUUAUUUUGGCAUAUGUCUAAGGGAGUAGCCAGCGGCAACCGCCGCUUAUCUAACACUCAUAAUGAAGGAAGCCAGUGGCAAACGCCGCUCUCCUAUCACCUAGAGGGAAGGAAGCCAGUGGCGAACACACAUUACUUAAUUUAUACAUAGUCUACGUUUAAGGCAUUUGAUAAUAGAAGUAAAAAAUGCUAGAGAAAAGUAAAUAAAAUCAUAUGUAGAGUUUUUCAGUGCACCUAAACAAA